AUGUCUGAAUUUGAAGCCAGAGCUGCCGACAUCUCCAAAUGGAAUAAACAAACUAAAGAAUUACAAGACAAAGUACAGGAAGCUGAGGCCCUCCAAACUCGUACGAGAAACACUACUCAACAAGCCCUUGAUGCAGAAACCAAGACCGGGAUCCAUCACUUCGACCGAGUAAGGGAUUUGGACGCCGAAUUGGCUAGCUUCAACUAUGCUAUUCUCUUAGUUAAUUGA